UUGGGAAUAUUGCACAAUGGGGGAAACCCUGAUGCAGCAAUGCCGCGUGAAGGAUGAAGGUUUUCGGAUCGUAAACUUCUAUCGAUGGGGAAGAAAAAAAUGACGGUACCCAAGUAAGAAGCCCCGGCUAACUAUGUGCCAGCAGCCGCGGUAAUACAUAGGGGGCAAGCGUUAUCCGGAAUUACUGGGUGUAAAGGGUGCGUAGGCGGUUAUGCAAGUCAGAUGUGAAAACUUUGAGCUCAACUUAAAGAAUGCAUUUGAAACUGUAUGACUAGAGUACAGGAGAGGUAAGUGGAAUUCCUAGUGUAGCGGUAGAAUGCAUAGAGAUUAGGAAGAACACCAGUGGCGAAGGCGACUUACUGGACUGAAACUGACGCUGAGGCACGAAAGCGUGGGGAGC
rnacentral:rRNA from 1 species